rnacentral:rRNA from 1 species
UAAAGCUCUCAACGGUGGAUAUCUCGGCUCUCUUUACGAUGAAGAACGCGGCAAAAAGCGAAAUGUAGUGUGAACUGCAAGUUUUCGUGAAUCAUUGAAUCUUUGAACGCAAGUUGCGCUUUCAAGUUUAUUUUUCCUUGGAAGCACGUCUGUUGGAGUGUCUUUAAUACACAUCAUUUAUUGGGAUGCAAUACUCAAGUAAAUGGAUGGGAAAUGACUUGAUGAUCAUUGAAUCGAGUAUUUCGACACGAGUUGGUGAUGAUAAGUUCAAUCACCAUUGUAUUUUCUUUCAGGAAUUUGUUCAUUGUAUAUUUAUACAUAUGAUGGAUGAAUGAAUGAAUGAAUUGAAGAAUUGAACAAUUUGUCUAGAAAAAAAAGACAGUAGAGUACAUGUCUUUAUUAUUUGAGAAAGAUAUUCAUUCUAAUUGUGAUGGAGAUAAAAGUGACACAUGUCAUUGUUUUCAAUCAUGAAUAGAUUUGAAAGUCUUUCCUCGAUAUAAUGAAGAAUGAAAAACAACAUGGUCAUGAAACUAGGAUAGGUAUUGAAAGUGAUGAGAAUUGAUAUCUAUUUUCAUCAUCGUGAUCAUUUCCUAGUUUUACAAUCUUGUUGUAUGUACGUAUAUAUGUACUUUACACUGUUCUCUUCGUAGACAAUUUGCUAUUAUCGAGACCUCCAAUCAGACGAGGUUACCCGCUGAACUUAAGCAUAUUAUUAAGCGGAGGAAAAGAAACCAACUGGAAUUCCCAUAGUAGCGGCGAGCGAAGUGGGAGUAGCCCAAUUUGAAAAUCCUUUUUUUUUUUUUUGAAAGGAGAUGUAUAUUUCAAUGUUUUCUAGUAUUUGCAUGAAAGAAAAAGCAAAUUUCCUGGAAUGGAAUAUCAUGGAGGGUGAUAAUCCCGUUUAUCUUUUUCAGUGUCAUGCGUUACGAUACUAGAAACGGUAGAGUCGGGUUGUUUGGUAGUACAGCCUUAAUGAGUUGGGUGUUAUAUAUCAUCCAAGGCUAAAUAUGAAAGAGAGACCGAUAGCGAACAAGUACCGUGAGGGAAAGAUGAAAAGGACUUUGAAAAGAGAGUGCAAUAGUACUUGAAACCGUUGAGAGGGAAGCGCAAUCUACCAGUGUUUUUUUAUAAAAUGACCCUGGAAAUCCUAGUUUGCAAAAAUUAUUAUAUUUUUUUGUGAAUGUUGGUUAUUUCCAUGGGAUGUCCAUGUACAUGGUAAAAGUAGAUGCAAGGCUAUAUUCAAGUUGCCCAUGAUUUCCGAAAUUUUUCAAUUUGUGGAAAUGAUGGUGUCUGUGAAUGUGGAAUGUGUAUCUACUUGACUAUGUAUGAUUUAUCUCAAGUAUCAUGGACGAAAUGGUAGAUUUCGACCCGUCUUGAAACACGGACCAAGGAGUCUAACAUGACAGCGAGUAGAAAGAGAAGUAUCUCUCAUUCUACGUAGUGUAAGCGAAAUUUGAAGAGUGAUUUUUUUUGUCAUUGAAGAAAAGCAACUCGGUUCCUUUUUUUUUAAAAAGAAAGCUGGAAAUGUAGUUGUCAUGUUGGGACCCGAAAGAUGGUGAACUAUGCCCGAGUAGGAUGAAGCCAGAGGAAACUCUGGUGAAAGUCCGUUUACGAUGCUGACGUGCAAAUCGCUCGUUUGACUUGGGUAUAGGGGCGAAAGACCAAUCGAACCAUCUAGUAGCUGGUUCCCUCCGAAGUUUCCCCCAGGAUAGCUACAGCACUCAUGUAACAGUUUUACUGUGUCAAGCGAAUGAUUAGAGGCCUCGGGAGAUUGUAAUUUCUCGACCUAUUCUCAAACUCUUAAUUGGUAAGGUACGAUACGCUAUUUUUUUCUAAGCGUAUUGUGGAAAAAAAGAUAUGAUUCUUUUUUUUGAGAAUGUAUUGCUGUUAGUGGGCCAUUUUUUUGGUAAGCAGAACUGGCGAUGCGGGUUGAACCGAACGAGAUGCUAAGGUGCCUGAAUGUACGGUUCAUUAGAAAUCGAAAAGGUGUUGAUUCAUUUAGACAGCAGGACGAUGGUCAUGGAAGUUGACAUUCGCUAAGGAGUGUGUAACAACUCACCUGCCGAAUGGUUUAGCCCUGAAAAAAAAGGAUGGCGCUUCACCGUACUACCGAUGCAUCUCCGUUUCUUUUUUCUGAAUGUAUAAACAAGGAACGUGUAGGAGGGCGUAGAGUAUGUUGUCAAGUUUAUUUUUGCGAAUGAAUGGAACGUACUCUAAUGCGGAUCUUGGUGGUAGUAGCAACGAUUCAAGUGAGAACCUUGAAGACUGAAGUGGAGUAGGUUUCCAUGUGAACAUUGAUUGGCCAUGGGUGAGUCGGUCCUAAGAGCGUAGAUGACUCUUUAUGAAAAGCCAUUUUUAUAUGAAAAUGGACAAGCUCGAAAGGGAAUUGGGUUUAUAUUCCCAAACCAGGUUGAAAUAUGAAAUGGGGUUGAUUUCAUAUGGUCAAUUUUUUUUCAUUUGAGAAAGGAUUGUACAUAUGAAAAGCAAGCGGCAACGCAAAGGU